rnacentral:rRNA from 1 species
GCUUGCUACCUGACCUAGCGGCGGACGGGUGAGUAAUGCUUAGGAAUCUGCCUAUUAGUGGGGGACAACAUUCCGAAAGGAAUGCUAAUACCGCAUACGCCCUACGGGGGAAAGCAGGGGAUCUUCGGACCUUGCGCUAAUAGAUGAGCCUAAGUCAGAUUAGCUAGUUGGUGGGGUAAAGGCCUACCAAGGCGACGAUCUGUGGCGGGUCUGAGAGGAUGAUCCGCCACACUGGGACUGAGACACGGCCCAGACUCCUACGGGAGGCAGCAGUGGGGAAUAUUGGACAAUGGGCGAAAGCCUGAUCCAGCCAUGCCGCGUGUGUGAAGAAGGCCUUAUGGUUGUAAAGCACUUUAAGCGAGGAGGAGGCUCUCUUGGUUAAUACCCAAGAUGAGUGGACGUUACUCGCAGAAUAAGCACCGGCUAACUCUGUGCCAGCAGCCGCGGUAAUACAGAGGGUGCGAGCGUUAAUCGGAUUUACUGGGCGUAAAGCGUGCGUAGGCGGCUUUUUAAGUCGGAUGUGAAAUCCCCGAGCUUAACUUGGGAAUUGCAUUCGAUACUGGGAAGCUAGAGUAUGGGAGAGGAUGGUAGAAUUCCAGGUGUAGCGGUGAAAUGCGUAGAGAUCUGGAGGAAUACCGAUGGCGAAGGCAGCCAUCUGGCCUAAUACUGACGNUGAGGUACGAAAGCAUGGGGAGCAAACAGGAUUAGAUACCCUGGUAGUCCAUGCCGUAAACGAUGUCUACUAGCCGUUGGGGCCUUUGAGGCUUUAGUGGCGCAGCUAACGCGAUAAGUAGACCGCCUGGGGAGUACGGUCGCACGACUAAAACUCAAAUGAAUUGACGGGGGCCCGCACAAGCGGUGGAGCAUGUGGUUUAAUUUGAUGCAACGCGAAGAACCUUACCUGGUCUUGACAUAGUAAGAACUUUCCAGAGAUGGAUUGGUGCCUUCGGGAACUUACAUACAGGUGCUGCAUGGCGGUCGUCAGCUCGUGUCGUGAGAUGUUGGGUUAAGUCCCGCAACGAGCGCAACCCUUUUCCUUAUUUGCCAGCGGGUUAAGCCGGGAACUUUAAGGAUACUGCCAGUGACAAACUGGAGGAAGGCGGGGACGACGUCAAGUCAUCAUGGCCCUUACGACCAGGGCUACACACGUGCUACAAUGGUCGGUACAAAGGGUUGCUACCUAGCGAUAGGAUGCUAAUCUCAAAAAGCCGAUCGUAGUCCGGAUUGGAGUCUGCAACUCGACUCCAUGAAGUC